CCUACGGGAGGCAGCAGUGAGGAAUAUUGGUCAAUGGCCGGAAGGCUGAACCAGCCAAGCCGCGUGAAGGACGAAGGUGCCAAGCAUUGUACACUUCUUUUGUCAAGGGACAAAAUCAUGCUCGAGAGCCUGACCGAGGGUACUUGAAGAAAAAGCAUCGGCUAAAUCCGUGCCAGCAGCCGCGGUAAUACGGGGGAUGCAAGCGUUAUUCCGAUUUAUUGGGUUUAAAGGGUGCAUAGGCUGUGAGGUAAGUCAGCGGUGAAAUGCCCCGGCUCAACGGGGUGAGGUGCCAUUGAUACUGCGUUGCUGGAAUGCGGAUGCCGUGGGAGGAAUGUGUGGUGUAGCGGUGAAAUGCAU
rnacentral:rRNA from 1 species